rnacentral:rRNA from 1 species
AUUGAACGCUGGCGGCAGGCCUAACACAUGCAAGUCGAACGAGUGGCGGACGGGUGAGUAAUGUCUGGGAAACUGCCUGAUGGAGGGGGAUAACUACUGGAAACGGUAGCUAAUACCGCAUACCAUCAGAUGUGCCCAGAUGGGAUUAGCUUGUUGGUGGGGUAAAGGAUCACCAAGGCGACGAUCCCUAGCUGGUCUGAGAGGAUGACCAUCAACACUGGAACUGUGGAACGGUCAAGAAACCUACGGGAGACAGCAGUGGGGAAUAUUGCAAAAUGGGAGCAAGCCUAAUGCAGCAAUGCCGAGUGUAUGAAGAAGGCCUUCGGGUUGUAAAGUAAUUUCAGCGGGGAGGCGUUACCCGAAGAAGAAGCACCGGCUAACUCCGUGCCAGCAGCCGCGGUAAUAC